CCAGGGAUCGAACCCGGGUCUCCUGCAUUGUAGGCAGACGCUCUACCGUCUGAGCCACCAGGGAAGUCUUUUAGUAGGAGAUGGUUGCCUCCAAGUUAGAAGGCCUUGCUGUUAGGCCUGGCCCUGGCCCUGCCCAGCUCUGGUUAAACUGCAGGACGAACCCAGCUGGACCUCAUGUCUCUCUGGACUCUGACCUCACACUCUGAUUCCGAUCUUCACCUAGAGCGAGCCGGGAUGACCCAGCUCAUCUCUGCGUCUUGCAGGGUCUUCUCCUCUCAACCCUGCUGCAGGACUAGCCCAUGGGGGUCACACGGCCCCUCACUUACAGCGGUAAACAGGAACGGUAAUAAUGUCACCUCCCUCCUGGGAACUGGGGGAGCUGACUGGCAUUGAGGACUGAGCCUGGCACCCGGCACGCAGGAAGCCCUGCUCACCAGCUGUCCCCUCCACCCCCGUCACCACCUGGGGUGCAGCCUGCUCAGAGCCACCAGGUUGUACAUCCUCACAGUGAGGAAGGAGGGAUGCAGUUCGGCUCUGCCCAGCGUCCAGGGAAAAAUACUUCAACUGUCAAUGGGUGACACCACCUGUGAGUUAAACGCCUGAGAAAUGCCAUUAGGAAUUACAAAUCCACGUAGAUCCCGCUGCCCGGAGGACCUCGGGCCUGGAGCAUGCCUGGUUUCGGUGUUUCUCCUGAUCAUUGACUUUUUAAUAUUCAGAAACCACUUCAGAGCUCAGGUGGGGGGAGUGUUUCCUAGAAGCUGUGUAGAAAUGAGCAGCC